rnacentral:pre_miRNA from 1 species
CUGGUUUUCUCAUUGGUCAUCUGGAAUUAAGAACUUCUGAGAUCAGCGUGAAAACCAAUU